rnacentral:rRNA from 1 species
AGUUUAACGGCCGCGGUACUCUGACCGUGCGAAGGUAGCAUAAUCACUUGUUCUUUAAAUGGGGACUCGUAUCAACGGCAUCACGAGGGCCAUACUGUCUCCUUUUUCCAAUCAGUGAAACUGAUCUCCCCGUGAAGAAGCGGGGAUAAUCCUAUAAGACGAGAAGACCCCAUGGAGCUUUAAACCCAACAACAACUCUGAGUUACUAAACCACAAAAAUUAAUUGAGCCCUGUAAUUGUUGGUUUUAGGUUGGGGUGACCGCGGAGCAUAAAAUAACCUCCACGACGAACGGGACUAAACCCUUAUCCAUGAACUACCACUCUAAGAAUCAGCACUCUGACUUCUAAUGAUCCGAUUACUCGAUCAACGGACCAAGUUACCCUGGGGAUAACAGCGCCAUCCAUUUCGAGAGCUCCUAUCGACAAAUGGGUUUACGACCUCGAUGUUGGAUCAGGGUAUCCCAGUGGUGCAGCCGCUACUAAAGGUUUGUUUGUUCAACAAU